UAAGACUUGUGAGACAUUAACUCACAUCUCCUGAAUGCAACCCAAGCACUUUAAUUAAGCUAAAGCUUU
rnacentral:tRNA from 1 species